rnacentral:rRNA from 1 species
GAUGAACACUGGCGGCGUGCCUAAUACAUGCAAGUCGAGCGAAUGGAUUAAGAGCUUGCUCUUAUGAAGUUAGCGGCGGACGGGUGAGUAACACGUGGGUAACCUGCCCAUAAGACUGGGAUAACUCCGGGAAACCGGGGCUAAUACCGGAUAACAUUUUGAACCGCAUGGUUCGAAGUUGAAAGGUGGCUUCGCCUGUCACUUAUGGCUGGACCCGCGUCGCAUUAGCUAGUUGGUGAGGUAACGGCCCACCAAGGCAACGAUGCGAAGCCGACCUGAGAGGGUGAUCGGCCACACUGGGACUGAGACACGGCCCAGACUCCUACGGGAGGCAGCAGUAGGGAAUCUUCCGCAAUGGACGAAAGUCUGACGGAGCAACGCCGCGUGAGUGAUGAAGGCUUUCGGGUCGUAAAACUCUGUUGUUAGGGAAGAACAAGUGCUAGUUGAAUAAGCUGGCACCUUGACGGUACCUAACCAGAAAGCCACGGCUAACUACGUGCCAGCCGCCGCAGUAA